rfam:Sutterella sp. CAG:397 genomic scaffold, scf458
GGCGGGUCCCCUCGCAUGAAAGCUCUGUGAACCUGGUCAGGUCGGGAACGAAGCAGCCACAGCGGAAGUCUUUUAGUGCCGAGGAUAAGGCUCGCCGUU